CUCCGUGCGUUCCGUUCGGGGCGCGAGUAGUUGAAUCACCAAGUCGAAUAGACAUAGGUACGACCAUUGAGUUUGUGAUGUCUGUGAUGAAAAGAUGUACGGGGGCUCGACUUAUAUUACGUGCCUGUCGAACACGAAAUGGAGAGGUGAACCAAUAGAUUGCACAGGUAUGAAAAUAAUAUUUAACUAAGUCAAGUGCUUUAAUAAAAUCAUUCUUAUGAUUAUAGCUAAGUCUCGGAUUGCCAUGUGGCUUGUGUGAGGCUUCGUCGUAAAAAUGAAUACGGCCAUUCAUCCCUUUGCAAAUUAUUGCAGUAGAGCUGUUGUCCGUUACUGGCAUAAUAAUGUUGUUUUGGUACUGGUAAAUCACUAGGGUAGGCCGAGAUUUCCGAAUAAAGUGAGAGUAUUACAACUUAACAAGUUCCUGUCAGCUAUGUAUCAAUUGGUCAUGUGGUUGGUGUGGCGAUUGGUCAUAAAAUAUCAUCAGGCCAUUCAUCCAUUUGCAAAUUAUUCCAGUAGAGCGGGUUUCCGUUACUGGCAAAAUAAUAUUGAUCUGAUACUGGUUAAUCGCUAGGGUCGGAGAAGCUUUCCAAUUAUAGUUAGAGUAGAAAAACUUAAACUUACAAGUCCCUGUCCAUCAGAUUUGUAUCAAUUAGUCACGUGGCUUGUGUGGCGAUUCGUCGUUAAUAUCCUUAGGCCAAUUAUCCAUUGACAAAUUAUUCCAGAAGAGUGGCUGUCCGUUUCUGGCCCAGUUAUUUAGUUUAAGUACAAGUAAAUCGCUAGGGUCAACAAAGCUGUCCAUGUUUUGUGCGAGUAUAAUAUCGUAUAGAUAAAAAAUGUAUAAAACAUGUUGUUAAAGGUCCAAACAAACGUAUUAACAUCUGUGUGUUAUGGACGACGUUGACGUUAAAGUAUUCAAUAACAAAUUGUAUUCUCUACACAAUCAUACAUUAAAAAAAUAAAUAUAUCGUUCGAUGAACAACUUUAAAAAACAAUCUGUGAACAUGACAGUAAAAUACGGCGAAAUUUGACAGGGCGGUCCCUAUUUACGGCGGACGUGAACGACCUGGUAAGUAAUGCAACUGUUAUCAAUAGUACUCACAAAUCUGCCAUCACAGAUGCUGAUGUCGACUCUGAUUCAUAUGGAAUAAGCAUUGCAUUUAAAACUGGUGUCGAUGUCUACUUCCUAAUGGAUGUUUCGAAAAGUAUUGAUGAACGCCAGUUCGAAGGGAUGAAACAGUGUGUUACUGCUUUACUUCAAAAUGUAAGUUCUUAUGAAGUAAUUAUUGCCGUUUGUUGUGUAUUUGUAUUGUUAUAAUUGAGCAAACCGGGAGUAUGCAGGUCGUACGUUGUUGUUUAUGUAGGAAUGUGUGUAUACAUAUACACAUUAUAAUAAAAUUCAUAGAAUUAUAGAAAUAACAUGUUCUGAAAAAAACGCGUCCCAUAGCUUUAAUAUUUGGGGUUUUACAUUUGAUUUAAUAUCUUGUUUAAAGUGUGCUCAAAUCAUGUCUCUUCGUUCUUAACUGUUGUAAACCCAUGUUUCUGAUUAUUAUUAAGAAUUGUAUUGUAAACGACUUAAAAAAAAUUAUGUAAACUCAUGGGUCAGUGGUUUAAUAUUUAGCCUCUAGAAUCAUGUUUAAUGUACUUCUAAAGGGUGUAUUCAGAAUAUGACCCUGGGUUAUAAAAGGGAAACAAGUUCGCAUUUAAGGGCUAUCUUUACCCUCUGGUUUUGUUUAUAGGUGGGUGUAAACAAAACUCAAAAUUCAACCCGAGUUGAUGUGUAUCUGUUUGCCGCCAAUGUGAAAGGGACGUUCACGCCUCGAGAUCGUCUGAGUGCAAGUGAUUGCAAGAUGAUUGCUUCACUUGAAAAAAAAAUAAUAUUUUCUUGACGACCGAUUAGACACAGGUCUUACAACGAAUAUAAACAAGGCACUAGACAUGGUUCGCGUCGACAUUCAUGCGAAGAGAUUAUUUUUCAAAGCACGAAUAAUCCGCGAUGUUGUCAUUCUGCUUAUCGACGGAAUGUAUACUGUUUACAUACUAACGGAAUAUGUAAAAUUACAAACUUCAUAAACAAGAUAACCCAAAUUCACACAAGGCGGCAGCCCGGGGCCGAUGGCCGAGCUAUUGAAGACACAGUUUGAAGUCAUGUUUUUCUCCAUCGCAUUUGUCUCUAACGAUGACACGGCUGGCCUCCGAGUGAUGGAAGAGAUGUCAAACAAAGUCGAGGGAGAAAACUUUUUCUUUGCAAUUGACAGCAAGAAUGUCAUGGCCGCAGACGGAUAAUGUGUUACAUUACAAAUAUUACCCGAAGAAGCAAAUAUUGUCGGUAUUGUGAACAAACAAAAACAACAGACGCCAUAUAGUGUGAAAAAAAGUAUAGUCUAUAUUAAGCUUAUUUAAAUAUAUCUGCAAUAUUUACGAUUAUCGCACUUAGACA